UACAGAGGUCCCAAGCGUUGUUCGGAUUCACUGGGCGUAAAGGGUGCGUAGGCGGUCGGGUAAGUCUGAUGUGAAAUCUCACAGCUUAACUGUGAAACUGCAUUGGAUACUAUUCGGCUAGAGAGUUGGAGGGGGGACUGGAAUUCUUGGUGUAGCAGUGAAAUGCGUAGAUAUCGAGAGGAACACCUGCGGCGAAGGCGGGUUGCUGGGCCGACACUGACGCUGAUGCGCGAAAGCCAGGGGAGCGAACGGG
rnacentral:rRNA from 1 species